ACGAACGCUGGCGGCGUGCCUAAUACAUGCAAGUAGAACGCUGAAGGCGGAGCUUGCUUCUCUGGAUGAGUUGCGAACGGGUGAGUAACGCGUAGGUAACCUGCCUGGUAGCGGGGGAUAACUAUUGGAAACGAUAGCUAAUACCGCAUAAUAGUAGAUGUUGCAUGACAUUUGCUUAAAAGGUGCAAUUGCAUCACUACCAGAUGGACCUGCGUUGUAUUAGCUAGUUGGUGGGGUAACGGCUCACCAAGGCGACGAUACAUAGCCGACCUGAGAGGGUGAUCGGCCACACUGGGGCUGAGACACGGCCCAGACUCCUACGGGAGGCAGCAGUAGGGAAUCUUCGGCAAUGGACGGAAGUCUGACCGAGCAACGCCGCGUGAGUGAAGAAGGUUUUCGGAUCGUAAAGCUCUGUUGUAAGAGAAGAACGAGUGUGAGAGUGGAAAGUUCACACUGUGACGGUAUCUUACCAGAAAGGGACGGCUAACUACGUG
rnacentral:rRNA from 1 species